CUUUGAUCUGUAGGUCUCUGGUAGUCAAAUUUCUGCAAAUGGCAUUUAAUUUUCAUUUGAAUUCCAUAUAGAUCUGUUCAUUCUUUUUGAAAAACAUUGUCAGUGUUCAGGAAAAAUUUAAACAUUGCAACGUAUUUAUAAUAGGUGAAAGCGCUUUUUAUAUACUUCACUUCCAUCUCAUCUCUCUAAGCAACUGAGCCUCUCGUGGUCCUCUGACUUGAACCUAAGCAUGCUUUGUCUUUAAAUGAGAGACAUUGAUUUACUUGGA
rnacentral:lncRNA from 1 species